AUAGAAUACGCAUUAAUAAUUUAUUGUAGCAAAAGUUGAACCAAACAAGUGACGAAAACAAAAUACCAGGAAUUUUUUGUGUUUUUGGUUUAAUCUCUAUCCGCAUUUUCGUUUAGAAGUUCGUGAUUUUUUGAAGCAUGUACAGCAGAUACGCUGGAUCGGAAGAAGUGGACCAAUUGCAUGGCCUCCACGGUCUUCUUUUUAUGGGGACACUUAAAAAACGAGGUAUACCGUACUCCAGUUCAGAAUAUUGAAGAAUUGCGUGACCGAAUCACGGUGGUUGAUAAUUGAUAAUUUGACUUCAGGAAUAGCGGGAAGGAGGUAUAUUUGAAAUAGUGCGCCAAAAUUGGAUUAAACGUGCUCAAGCUUGCAUUAGAGUCAAUGGAAACAAUUUUGAACAGCUUUUAUAAAUAUGAUAGUUUUAUAAUAUGGAGAAUGGCUUAAGCAAAUCCCUAUACACGAGAGUCAAUCUUAAGGGCUGACUAUUGGAAUUUUUCUUCUUAAGGGUGAAAGACAGAAGAUCUUUGUGAGUCUCCAUAUACAUAUAUUAUGUAUUUUGUACACCACGCCUAAGAUAUGCCGGUGGAGUCUACAGUGACCUAUUAGGAUUUCAGUCAGAUAGCCAAGCAAGAUGGCAAAAUUGACAGGAGCUGACAGAAAUGACGUUGUUGACAUUGACUGAUGAGAACAUCAUUUGUCAUAUCAUUUGCGUUUGUUUUUCGUUUCAAUGUAUGCUGGAAGCGUAGGUUGAGAUUGUUUUAAUGAUGCUAUUUUAAAUCAAUAACCUUUUUUUUAAAAAAAGUUCUUUUUCGAUAUCGGGACUAAUGUUUUAACUGAUUUGUAGCAAUUCCAGGUGUCCGAUAAGAAAAUGUGAUUUUAUUUUUUUGUAUUGUCAAUUUUUAGUAUAUAAUAAAAUCAAAUUCAGUUGGUUUCCAUCAAGAUGUUUCACCGUUCAAAUAUUUAAUUUUUAACUUGAUAUAAAUAUAUAUUACAAA